GAUGAACGCUGGCGGCGUGCUUAACACAUGCAAGUCGAACGGAAAGGCCUCUGCUUGCAGGGGUACUCGAGUGGCGAACGGGUGAAUAACACGUGGGUGAUCUGCCCUGCACUUCGGGAUAAGCCUGGGAAACUGGGUCUAAUACCGGAUAGGACAAUGGUUUGGAUGCGGUUGUGGAAAGUUUUUCGGGGUGGGAUGAGCUCGCGGCCUAUCAGCCUGUUGGUGGGGGGAUGGCCUACCAAGGCGGCGAGGGGGGGCCGGCCUGUGAGGGGGUACGGGCACAUAUUGGCUCUGAUACGGCCCAGACUCUUCUACGGGGCAGCAGUGGGGAAUAUUGCACAAUGUGCGCGAGCCUCAUGCGGCGACGCGGCGUGUGGGAUGACACCCUUCUGGUUGUAUACUCCUUUCUCUACGGGCGCAGCGUUUUUGUGACGGUACCUGGAGAAGAAGCACCGGCUAACUACGUG
rnacentral:rRNA from 1 species